GAAAAAUCUGUCAGAUUCAUUUAAUUUUCUACGUGUCUGACUGGAUAUGGGUGCACGUAAAUAAUUCAGUGCACUUAAAACGAACUGAAUUGAGCGCGAAGACUGUUUGUGGACUAAUAAUUCACGAAAAUAUUUCCAGCAAGUGGCCCAGAGAUACACACAAACAGCUGGACCGAUGGGACCUCAUGGCCUACAUUCAUGGUCAGCUGUCAAGCCAACAACAUCAUCUACAUCCUCUGCCAGUUCCCCAACCAGCAGGGCUGAUGCUGGGCAUUUGAGCGGUGGCGUGG
rnacentral:lncRNA from 1 species